rnacentral:rRNA from 1 species
UAUAGGCUAAUUAAGAGCGUAAGGGGGAUACCUUGGCUCUCAGAGGCGAAGAAGGACGUGAUAAGCUGCGAAAAGUUACGGGGAGUGGCACAUACAUAUUGAUCCGUAAUAUCCGAAUGGGGAAACCCGAUUAUUUGAAGAAUAAUCAUCCAUAUUUAUAUGGAAGCUAACCCGGAGAACUGAAACAUCUAAGUACCCGGAGGAAUAGAAAACAAAAGUGAUUCCGCUAGUAGCGGCGAGCGAACGCGGAUCAGCCCAAACCUAAAUUGUUUCGGCAAUUU